rnacentral:lncRNA from 1 species
UUGAAUAACAUUUGCCAGGUGGCACCCAACCUUUCUGCCCACCGCAUUAGGAGUGACACUACCGUUUGGUUCGGGUAUAAGUCAGAACUAGCUAUUAUAAGGAUAGGUACAAAUAUGAGGAUAAGAAAAAUAGUGUUUGGAUGAAAAUUGAUUAUUCCCGGGGAUAAAAAUAAUUUUACAUAGUUUUAUAUAAAAAAUGAAAGUAUUGAUGAGAAUAACCGAGAACUACUAUUCUCGGAUAAAAAAUUAGCGUUUGGAUAUAAAGAGGGGAUAAGAGCCUAUUCCUAUUCCUAUCCCCUAACCAAACGCUUGGCUGACGAAUCACAUGAAUCAACUUCGAUAUUAUAUCUUUGUUGGAAUAAAUAAAAAAUAAAUAAAAUUAAUGAUAAAAAUAUCUCUUUUCGAAACAAAUAUUCAUACGUGGGUUUAGGGAGUUUGGAUUCACCAAUUUCUAAAUUUGAUGUAACUCAAAUAUAGUGCUGUUAGUAUUUUUCUAACGUGUAGUUAUUUUUUCGUUAUUUAUUUUGAUAUAACUCAUACAUUCUGAAAAUUAAAUUUAAAUAUAUUUUUUUUGUUUAUUUUGAUGUAACUUGAAACUAGUUUAACUAGUUUAUUGAGUUCUAUUAUUUGUUUUCAUAUAAGUAAAUAAAUCUAGUUAUCUCCUAAAUAUAGUGAUAAAUUUAUCCUACAAAAUCUAAUGUAUUAAAUUAUUAAACUCUCCAUUAUUAUUUUAAAGGUAAUCUUAACCCAUUGUAAAGAGAUAAUUCUAACCCAUUGUAAAGUAGAGUUUAGAUUUUAAUAUUUAAUUAAUUUUUUAGAGAAGGUUGAGUAUGGUGGAACUUGAGUUCGGCAUUUUAGAGGUAAAAGUCAAGAAUAGAUAAAGUGGAGGCCUAACGUAACUUGAGUUACAUUAUUUUUUUUUAUUUAUACCAAAACAAACACUACGAUAGAACUAAAGUUCCACCAUUCCACUUACUCUGAACCAAACGGUCGCUUAUAGCUGCAGUGAAUUAAAUAUUAAUGUAACGCUAAGAAAGUUGGUUUCAGGCACUUUUUGAAUGUCCAAAUAAAUUAUUUUAUUCAAUAAUAAUUUAUUUUAUACCAGAAUUCUUUAAUAUGAUUAUAAAUAAAAAAUUUGACUUUUAUUUUUUCAAAGAUGUUGCUAUUUAAAGUUUCAUAGGAUAACAUAUUUUACCUGCAUUGUGAGUUUUCUUAGGCAAAAGCAUACAAAACUUACAUGAAGCUUUCAAUUUGUUUGAUUUAAGUCAAUCUUUGGCACUUUAACUCUAAAAUUUAAAUUAAUUAUUUACUUUAACAAACUUAUAAUUGUGAUAAUUGUAUGAAACAAUACUAAAUCUGUAAAUAUAAACGACACAUUCAAAUUUUAAAGUCAAAGUGUCGCUGACUAACUCAAAUCAAACAAGGUAAAAAGUGAGAUAGAAAAAUCAAAUUUUAAAAAAAUUAAAUAGCGAAAUUUAAA